UACGGGGCAGCAGUGGGGAAUAUUGCACAAUGGGCGCAAGCCUGAUGCAGCCAUGCCGCGUGUAUGAAAAAGGCCUUCGGGUUGUAAAGUACUUUCAGUCGUGAGGAAGGUGUUAAGGUUAAUAACCUUAGCAAUUGACGUUAGCGACAGAAGAAGCACCGGCUAACUCCGUGCCAGCAGCCGCGGUAAUACGGAGGGUGCGAGCGUUAAUCGGAAUUACUGGGCGUAAAGGGCACGCAGGCGGUUAAUUAAGUUGGAUGUGAAAUCCCCGGGCUUAACCUGGGAAUGGCAUUCAAGACUGGUUAGCUAGAGUCUUGUAGAGGGGGGUAGAAUUCCAUGUGUAGCGGUGAAAUGCGUAGAGAUGUGGAGGAAUACCGGUGGCGAAGGCGGCCCCUGGACAAAGACUGACGCUCAUGUGCGAAAGCGUGGGGAGCGAAACAGGGAUUAGAUA
rnacentral:rRNA from 1 species